rnacentral:rRNA from 1 species
UACGAAGGGGGCUAGCGUUGCUCGGAAUCACUGGGCGUAAAGCGCACGUAGGCGGCUUUCUAAGUCGGGGGUGAAAUCCUGGAGCUCAACUCCAGAACUGCCUUCGAUACUGGAGAGCUCGAGUCCGGGAGAGGUGAGUGGAACUGCGAGUGUAGAGGUGAAAUUCGUAGAUAUUCGCAAGAACACCAGUGGCGAAGGCGGCUCACUGGCCCGGUACUGACGCUGAGGUGCGAAAGCGUGGGGAGCAAACGGG